CACAGCCCGGCUGCGCCUCCUUUCCAGAGCUCCAGCUCCGCAUCCCCCUCCCCCGGGGGGUUCGGGGUCGGCGGGAUGGAGGGUGAGGAACCGCUGCCCUCCGCUCUCCGAAAAGGCAGAGCCAGCUCGGGAGCGCUGUGGGAUGUGAGGAACGCGCACACACCCGGAGCGCGGUGCAGGGUUCUGUAGCUUGGAACGCGUUUCACAGCCCCUCGGUGCCCCCUGAAGUCCCCGCUGCCCCCAGCUUGAGAUUCGGUGUGGGGGUUGUGCUUCACCCCUUUCACCCAGCAGCGGGAGGCACCGUUUGGCCGGAGCCUGCCGGGAGCCGGGGGGGUUGCCCGUCCUCGGCCGCCUCCACACCGGGCUCUUGAGGUUUCCUGAUCUUUCUGCGGGAGCCUGGCGGGGCGCGGGGUGCGGAGCCGGAGGGGAGAGAUGCUCCAAAACCGCGGGUGCUCUCGCCGGGAUGGAAGAGCCACGAGUUGCCCUGGAGUGAAGGGAAGAGCGGUUUAGGGACCCCCGGCUCCGGAGUGCCUCUAGGAAAGGACUGGGGCGCACUUUUCUCCCCUCCGAUGCAUUGUUUUAACCCCGAUUUCUCAUAUUUGGUGUCUUUUAUCCCCUUAUUUUUAUCGUGUUUUCAAAAAAUUAAAUUCUAAAAAAUCCAAACCGCCCCAUCAAAAAAAUUUCUCCUCUCUCCAAAGCGUAAAUAGAAAAAAUAAAUUCUGCUCUCAAUGUUUCUCGCGGCGGUGCUUUGGGGAAGGUUGGUGACAACGAGCUCCACUGCCUUGUCCGCAGGCAGGACAGGGCCGGGGCUGCGUGUGCCUCACCCGAGUGCGGCCAGGAAAGGUCGGCAAGGCACGGCACCACUAUAAAAAAAUAAAAAAUAAAAAAAAUCACCGCUGUGAACAACCCGAAAUAACCUCAAAAACCCGCCGUUUUAGCAGAGCUGGAUGCAAUGUGUAAGUCGGAAUGGGGCGUGUAUAGGGGUUUUUUUUUCAUUCCCUAAGUUUUUGGGUUUUUUGUCUGUCUGUCUGUCAGAGAAGCAUCCCCAUCCAGGUGCGCCCCGUCGGGGUCCGGGACCGAGGUGGGAGCUGCGACUUCUCGCCAGCUUCUUGGAGACCCCGCUCCCCGCCGGGAGCUCAGUGCUGUCUGUCGGAUAAUGGGGCGGUGGGACUUUGUUUAACCCCGUUGCCCCUGGGGCCAGGGGUCAAGGGCUUCCUUUUCCCCCGGGACACGGCGGAGACGCCGUUGGUCACGGCAGGAGGAGCGCGGCGAAGGGGGGGAAGUGAUGGCCGCAGAGUACCCCUGUCCCCGCCGCGGCCCUCCCUCUGCCAUCGCCGUGGAAUCCCGCGGACCUCCUUCUCUCCCCGGCAUGGAGAGGCUGAGAAGGGCUCCAGAUGGGUGUUUUGGGGGAGCAGGGGGCGGCCAAACAUCACCACGGGGCAGAGGGUGAUGAUGCAGAGAGGCGGCCCCUGCCUUCCAGCAUCCCCCGGUUCUGCUUUCUCCUCCCAGCUGGAGCAGGAUGUUUUUAACGGGGUGCCGGUUUUAAUAGGGUUUCACCCCCUCCCUCCACAGGUAGAGAUGUCUCAGCUGCCCCCCCGGAGCCAAGAAACGGGAGAAACGGGCAAUUUUUAUAGGCUGGGGAGGAGUCGGGAGAGAGGGAAGGAAAAGAGAAAAGAAAAUCAUCCCAAGAUCCCGCUCUUUCCCUGCUCGGGAAGCGAGCCCCGGAGCUCCCAAAGUGAGCGCUGAAGAGGGCGGCGGGAGACAGGCGGGAGCCGGCUCCGAGGUGGAGGGGUCGGGGGUGGGAUGAGAGUAGAGGAGGACCCUCCUUUUCGGGAUUAAGGGAGAACCGGCGAAGGAGGGAAGCUGGCGGCACCGCGGGCAUCCGAGGUAAGUCCCUCUCCUGCCCGCAGCGGUGGUACCUGAGCCAGGGCGCUGCUGCAGGGGAUGCUUUGAGGGUUCAAAGGAGCCCGAUCCCGGGGAUCCCCGUUCUCGGGGCUGCCCCGCCACAACCACCGGGCUCUGCGGGGCCGGGGCUGCUUUGGCGGCUGCAGCUCGUGUGGAAUCGGUGCCGGUUAUCCCGGCCCGGGGGCUGCCGGCAGCCCCUGCCCCGCUCCGUGCCCGCUCCCUCGGGGCUGGGUCGGGGUCCCCCCGGGCCGAGCAGCCCACGGAUCCCGCUCCCAGCCCCCGGGGCUCCUCCCGUGCGUGUCUCAAUUCGCUCAGGCUUGACUUGGCAAUAAGCUCUCUCAAUAGGGUGACAAUAGAGCCCCGGUGGGACCCGAACAAAGAAUUUGAAAGUAGUUAAAUUGCAGGACACGUCCAUCGCCUGGGUGCUUGAAUUAAAAAAAAAAAAAAAAAAAGAAAAGAAAAAAAGAAAAAAAAAAAAGAAAAAAAAAGAAAAAGAAAGAAAGAAAAAAAAUCAGAGAAAAGAAAAAGGAGAGAGACUUUUCUUUGGGCUGGUGAGAAAAUGCUCAGGGUAAAAGUUGGUUUGGCGUCUUCAUUUCAGCGACAAUGGAGCAGAGCUAAUUCAAUAGGAAACGCGGGGAUUUUUUAAUGAAAAGACCGCCGGGGUUACACCGAAGUUAAGCUCUUGUGAAUUAAUUAUUAGGGCAAAUAAACUGGGAGGGGGGGAGCGCUCGGGAGGGAGU
ensembl:lncRNA